UGAGGCUAUCUAUUUUCCUCCUCAUAUUGAAGCUAUGCCUGAUUAACUAUCGGAGUACUUCCAAGCUCCCAAUAAUCAUUGUUCAAUACUUACAGAUAAUAUGUUACCCUGUUGCUGCCUUGGCUGUAGAAGUGGUUACCGAAUGAAAAACCUCAGGUAAAAGUGGAUAAGGGCCAUACAUAGGGAAGGUUUUGUUCCUACCAAGCAUUCUCGUAUUUGUAGUUGUCAUUUCUAUGAGUCUUACUAUGAGUUGGAGAGGAAUGACAAGAUUGUUACUCGAUUAAAAAACAAUACAUUUAAAGGAAUGAGACUAGCUAAAUUAAAUCCAAAUGCAGUGGUGACCAUAUUUGCUGGUGUUCCAACUUACUUAUCUGGUUUACCUCGUCGUCCGAGAUACACAACAAUAAACUACUGUAGAAAAGAGGAGCUGAGCAAGAAAACCAACUGACUUAUUGAGGACAAAUAAUUUGUUAAAGUUUUAUUUAGAGAACGAAGAGUCAGAUCAAACGAGAAUCUUCAAUUUAUUAUCGAGCAACUCGACUUACAUUUAAGAAGUACGAAAAGAAGAAGAUACUCUCCUAAACUUCUAUGAAUGUCUACUUUAUGGCCAAAUACAUGCCCAGCUCUUUAUCGUCAAAUUAAAGAAUCUGGACGGAUUUCUUUACCCACCGUAAAACACAUCAAAAAGUGAAUGAGUGUUUUUUCUGUUAAUGGCCAGGUAAAUAACUCUACUAUAGAUUAUCUUUCUGCAAGACUAAAAUAAUUACCAUCGAAAGAUAAAUUUAUAUCGAUCAUAAUAAAAGAGUAGAAUUUGUUAGAGGAAGUUUUUAUGGAUGUGAAAAAA
rnacentral:lncRNA from 1 species